ensembl:lncRNA
GAGAGGGAGGGUGUGAAAAAGGCCUGGGGUGGGGGGCAGCCCAGAAGGACUGCUGUAGUUCUCAGCUUCACAGGAGAAUCCCCUGGAGAAAACAAUGAUGGCUGGGCUCCAUCCCAAGCCAGCUAUUCCAAAUCACUAGGGGUGUGGCUCUGGCAACAGCAUUUUUUCAAGGUUUUCCAGGUGGUUCUUCCCGGCAACCUGGUUUGAGAACCACUCUUUUCACACAGGGGCCAGAGUAAGACAAUAAACAGACACACCUGAAGUUGUUCUCAAACUUUAUUAGGAGGUAAGCCGCCUGGAGAGCUUGGUGAAGUUGUGGGUUUUCUCAAACCCACCCCGCACCUCCCCCAGAAGAUCAGCUUCAGUUGGUCUGGAUGAAUCUACGUUUAUAACAAGCUCCCAGAGAUCCCGAGAUACCCUGGGGAAGAGAUGGUGGCUGAGGAGCAGAAGAGAGGUGAAAGUCUAAUCCUGAAGAUGACCCUUCCUAACCUUGGUCCCAGAGUGAGCUCAGUCAAACUCAGUCCCGAAAAAGAUGAGAAACCUGGGACACCAACAGGAAAAGUAACCUGCUGAUCGCAAAGAACUCAUUUCCACAAUGGGUGACUUCCAGAGAGCCUGUCUUGAUGAUCCAAGCUUCCUUGUGUUAAUGUAAAAAAAAUACACAAUGUAAGAGUGGUAAGUUAAGUUUUAUUUGGGGCAAAAUGAGGACAACAGCCCAGAAAACAACACCUAUGAUAGCUCUGAGAAACCUCUCUAAAGAGACAGAGGAGGAAGGUAAGUAUGUAUGUGAUUUUGGUGAAGAGGGGAUGUAUGCAGUGAAGCACAUAUCUUUUGCAGAAGGAUUCUGCUACUCAUGAGGAGCAGUCAUCACCAUGAGGAUUUUAGUGCUCUUCUAAAUAUGAGGAGAUGAAAGAGCUGGGCUCGUAAAAUCAGCUCCCGAAAUUAACUAACUAUCCAAAGACCUGUUCUGCCAGUUACCCGCCCUACCCUGCCCCAGCACAGAGUGCCUCAUUUCUGCUCACCAUUCUGAACUCUUUUGGGGGGUGUUGAAAAUCAGCAGCUGCAGCAGCACAUGAUUUAAUCCUUGUAGAGGUAGAUGGCAAGUGCCAAUCUGUAGUUGACACUUGGGUACCUUUUACAGUAACUACUAGAACUUGAAUACACUGCAGAAAUGACCCUCUCCCCAGGGCCAUGCUCACUGUUUACAUAGCCUACAAGGAGGAGUCCUGUUGGUUAACCUAGAAUUUAGUGGUUUCUUGAGGUACAAGGAAAUAUAUCUACUCCCCCAGAACAAAUGAAAUCAAGAAAGAACUGCUUGAACCCCAUAUGUUAAUUGGUUUUGCAGCUCUUAGUGAUUUGACUCUUUGAAUCCAUAACUGCUGUAUUUUAGAUAGAAAAUUGUUAUCUUUACCUUAUGGAAACUAUGUUUCAAACCAAGUUGUAUAAGAAACUUUAGCGUAUGCAUAUUGGGGUAGGAAUAUUUAACCUCAGUGUUCACCUUCUUCCCGCCAGUUCUCGCAUGCUGUCUGGCCAUGUGGUGGAACAUUACUGUCAAUUUCCAGCUUGCACAUUUCCUAAGGGAAAUCAUGGUGGCUCAACUCAAUAUUCUCAACUAAGCAAACAUUCAUUGAAUACCUAUUGCUGGUACCUACUGCAUGUCAGUGAGACAAGGUACCUGAUGUGCUUUGCUAGGGAAAUGCAAGACACAAGGGAAUACAUAAGAGACACCUGACCCAAUCUUCAAGAAUCAAGAAGAUUUUCUGAAGGAAGUGACAUCAAAAUUGGAAGCUGAAAGAAAAUCGGGAGAUUAUCAGGUAAAAAAGGGAAAUGGAUGCAAUUCAGAAAAAAGAAGAUAAUUUGUGCAAAGGAUUGCACACACAGGAGAAUGUCCCUGUGCUCAAGGAAUGUCACACAAUCCUGAUUGGCUGGGGCUGGAGUCAAACUAUAAAGGAUCUCAGAUGCCUUGCUGAAAACCUGGAACUUCAUCUUACAGGGGCCACAGAAAAUCAUUACUUGGUUUAAAAUGGAGUGACAGGAUCAAGUUGAUGCUUUAAGAGAACAUUCUGAUAAUUAGUUGUAGAAGAAUGUGGCUGGAGGCCCUCAAAAGAGGUACAAUAUAGAGCUGGAUUAUAAAAAAGAAAAAUAGAAUAAAUUCCUCAAGGAGGAAGAAUUUGAGCUUAGCCCUGGAAUUGGAAAAAGCCCAUCCAGGACUAAUGGAACAAUGCAAAUAAGGUUUAGGAGACAGGAAAAUACAAGGACAAAAUGUAUAAGGGAAGUAGGUGCCUGGGCCAAAGUGUGGGCCUUGAAAAGCAAAAGUGGUACACAGUGUGGCCUUAACAGUAAUUGAGGAUGAAUUCAGAUAAGACCUCAAAUUGUACGCUGGCUAGUUUUAUUCUGGUAACAACAUAGACCCCUUGAAGUGGCUUAUCGUGAUCCAGUUUUAGAAAAUUUAUUCAAGGAGUGAAGCAAAUGUUAUGGCAUGGCUAUAUUGACCUUGGCAUUUUUCAAAGGCACAGAUCAGUUAAUUCAUAUUUGGAUUGUCAGGACUUACACUGUAUGUAUCUGGCAGGUGCCCAGUACAGAUGGUUUGAUGUAUUAGCUGGUGAGAAGAUGGUUGGAUGGAUUCAUGGAUAGAAGAAUGAAUAGACAGAUGGAUGAGUAAACUGAUAAAUCAUCACACCGCAAGGAUAAAUGAGCUCUGGGUGAAAUAAUUUAUCAGAACAACUUUUUUUUAAACCUAGGAAAUAAGCAAUGAGAUUCUCACCACACCCUACAGGAGUUAACAUAGAAAAUAAACCUUCAUCCUCUCUAAUGAGCUCUAGAAAUUGAUCUUAACCAACUCUUGUGAGUGUGUCUCUCAAAAAUCUACUGUGUAAACUGCCUAUUAAGAUAUUGUUACCUUUAAGACUGCCUUCCAAACCUUAAACUUUUAUAGUGCUGAGUUCCCACUUGCCCUUAGGAAUAGGACAAGGGGCAUCCUUUCCUUGGGUUCAUAUACAAAACCCUGAAGAUCAAAGUGAAAAUACAGAAUAUACUACUGAGCAACCAUGUAUUUUUUCCCCAGAAAUCAAGACCCCCCUCUCACACCUAAAAUAAAACUCUGAGAACCAACUUUUUAAUUAGAAUGAAUAAGUUGCUUCCUUGAUUAAUUGCACAUUGCAGGAAAAAAGACUAUGUAGGAGGUAAUAAUUUAUGGUAGCAAUUUGAGGUGAUUUUAUCAUAAACUUUCCAUGGUUUCAUACUGUAGAUUUUGGAAAACAUAGUACUUUGUCAAAAAGGGAGGGGGGUGGAGGAAGUAAAAUAAAUAUUUAAGCCCAGAGAGAUCACUCCAACAAAUGUUCAUUCUUAGAUCAUCUGUUCUUCAUUUCAUGAUAUACGUUAUAAACAACAGUCUCACUCCAACUCUCACAUUGCUGCAUACUUUAAAAUUCAGCAAAUAUGUUAGUGCACAUAUAUAAUGUAUUGUUGUAGUUUGCAGUCACAGAUAACUCUACUAAUGGAGUUGUUUGCCAUAUAUAUGGAUAAGGUUAAAAAUCUCAGAGAGACUAACAGUCUUGCCACAUGGGUAGAUGUACUGGGGGACUGUCCUAUUUCUGUAGCUCUAGAGACCAUUUUAGCACAAAUCACUUCUCAUGACUCUGUCUCUUUGCUCAAUGGGUUACUGAUGUCUUUGCUCUAAAAGAGCUACAUGGAUUUACUCACUGCCAAGUGGGUCUUUUCGCUGCUGCUAUACUCAGAAUAUCUUAACUAUGCAGCAAGGCUUUACACUGUAUUUCAGGAUGUCAAGUGAAAAUUUCUUCUUCUGGAACCUGCAGUCAUUUCUUGCUUCAGUUUUCCACAUAGCUGCUAAAGUUGUUCUGCCUUUUGUUAGGAGAGCAAGCAAUAUAGCGUUAAGGCAACGGCUAGCCAAUACUGAACCUUGGUUAAGGAUAUUUGUUUUGUAUUUUAAGAUUUUACAACUUACUUAUUUUAAUUUCCAUUUGUUUAUUUAGCUGCACCAGGUCUUAGUUGAGUCAUGUGAAUUCUUAGUCAAGACAUGUGGGAACUAUUUCCCUGAGCAGGGAUCAAACCCAGGCCGCCUGCAUGGGGAGCAUAGUGUUAGCCACCACUGGAACACCAGGAAAUUCCCAAGACUUAUGGUUUUUUUAGAGAAGCUUUAGGUUAACAGUGAAAUUGAGUGGAAGGUACAGAUAUUUCCCAUAUAUUCUCUGCCCCCACACAGGCAUGGCCUCCCCCAUGAUCAACAUCCCCUACACGUGUUACCACUGACGAACAUACGCUGACUCACCACAAUCAUCCAGAGUCCAUAGUUUACUGUAGGCUUUACUCUUGGUCUUGUACACUCUGUGACUUUGGUUAUACAUGUAAUGACAGGUAUUCAUUAUUAUAUCAUCAUCCCAUGGGUUAGUUUUAUAGAUUACAGAAAAACGAGCAACCCAAAAAUACACACACACACUGCUCAUUUUCAAAAAGCUAAAUUUUAUUCCAUUAAAAAGUCUAAAUUUUAUUCUAAAGUCAUCGCCUUCCUACUUAUUUUUUUAAGAAAAUAUACUUUCUCCUGUGAAAGGAUAAAGGCAAAAUGAAAAUAAUGGUGCUUAACUUUGUGGGAUUGUGUGAGGAUUAAACAGGAUAAUCCAUGUAAAAUUUGGCACAGUGUCUGGCUAAUAGCAAAAAAAUUAAUAGAUGUUAUGUAAGAUUAUUAUUGUUGUUAUUAUUCAUUGCUUCUUGUAGGCUUUAAUUUCUUUUUUUCCUUUUUUGCUAUUGCUAUUAUUCAAAAAACAGACACUGGUUUUUAAUUACCUUACUUAGAUUAAGAAAAAAGUUUUCAACAUCAUGUUAGCUCUCCUUUUUUUGUUUAAAACUUAAAAUCCAAAUAUCUGAAAAUGAUCAGGGGAAGGAAAAUAGACCUAAAAUAGACUAUUUAGGAAGUCUGAGACCAAACACUGGCCCUCCUGGUACAGUGACUCUGUAAUUGUAAUCACAUAAGCUCCAUGUGAUUGAGUAUCCUGACUUAACUACGUUCACACCAGACUAUUUUGGAGUGCCAACACGUAAUUAUAACACCUCUUAGGGUUUUGUGAAAAUUAAAUGGAUUUUAAAGUAUUAAUAAAACCUUUAGAACAAUACCUGGCGUAUAACGCAUGUAUUAAUACAUACAAGGUAAACAUUAGCUUUACUAUUGUUUUUGUUCCAGGUCCGAUAUGUAAACAGCCAGUACCCCUUCUAUGGUGAUUAUUGUGUUUAGGUGCUCUCUUUUGGGCUUCCCUAGUGGCUCAGGUGGUAAAGCGUCUGUCUGCAAUGCAGGAGACCCAGGUUCGAUCCCUCAGCUGGGAAGAUCCCCUGGAGAAGGAAAUGGCAGCCGACUCCAGUAUUCUUGCCUGGAAAAUCCCAUGGACCAUGGAGCCUGUUAGGCUACUGUCCAUGGGGUCACAAAGAGUCGGACAUGACUGAGCGACUUCACUUUCACUUUCUCAGUGAUAUUCUAUUCUUAAUUUUUUGGUUAGGGCCCAAGAUAUCAGUUAUAGAGCUAUAGUAGACAUAAGGCUAAAAACCACUAAAAUAUGAAGACAAACUAUUUAAAGGAUUAUAUCACUUUAGGAAAUGAUAAAUAGCUUACUUUAUAUAAUUUUCUCAUAGAAUCACAUGGUCAAUUGCAACAGACUUUUUGACAAAUUACUUAUACUACUUCACUGGUUACACAUUGGAAUGGACUAUUACAUCAAGGUAUAAAAACCCCUUCAUUGAAGAAUUAUAUAUAUAGUUAUCUGUGUGGAUGUUUCAUUUGAGAUUCCUCCCAAAUUUAUAAUUUUUGCGGGUAAUAAAAGGACAAUCAUGUUCAUUCCUGCUAAUAAGAAUGAGCUUAAUUAUCAACAAUCCUAUAUAAGACAUUUACUUCCUACUUGAGAUAAAUUGCUUCAUUCAUCAUUUUUUGACAGCCUGCUACAUGUUAACUACCCUAUUAGGUGACAGUUUCAGUCUUCAUAGUGUUCAAGUUCAAUGAGGAGACAAAUAACCCAAAUGUAAUAAAACAGAAUGUUGUGAUGAUGACAGGGACAUUCCUAGGUUCUAUGUGAGCAUGGAAGUUUAAACAUGGAAGUAUCUAAACAGCCUCCUCCUCGGAGCAACAUUUAAACUGAGUCUUACAGGAUUAUUGAACAUUAGAGGGGCAAUGGACAAUACAUUGCAACAUAAUCAUCUUCAAACAUAGCUACUCAACUAUCGAGUACUUUUCCUUACGGAAUUCCCUCUCCCCUUAAUUUUUCAGUGUCUUCUGUAUGUCCCUAACUCUGAGUGUCCAGGAAAGACUCCAUACGUACAAAUCAAAUCCUUUUAUUCCUCAUAAAAUUCCCAUGUGCUCUCAAAAUAGUAAUUAUCUAAAAUACAUUUUAAAUGUCAGUUUAUAAAAGAGCAAUGCCAAAGCCAAGGGGGAAAUGUAGUUCAAAGGCAUCAACAAAAAUGGAAUGAUAAGAUUAUCUCAAUAUUGAAAAACAAUCAAGCUUCAUCUCUAAAGCAAUAAAAUGUGCCUUUAAUAUCUUGAUAUUAAAAAAUUUUAGAGGAAAGUUUGAAAAAUUGGAGGCACAAAUUUCUAUUAUUAUCCAUUAAUAUCCAUAAUAUCCAUUAAUAUCCAUUGGUUCCUUCUUUGAGGAUAAAAUCUGGCAGCAUGUUUCAAGAGUCAUAAAAACAUUCAUAACCUUUGACCUAAUAACCACAUACCCAGGAAUUUAAACUACUGUAAAGGAAUUGUUUUUACAAAAAACAAAGGGAAUAAGUAUAUACAAAAAUGGUUAUGACAAGAAUGCUAAUAUAGUCCUAAUUUUUUAAAUGUGCAUGAUUCAGCAUUUGGAAAACUGGUAAAGUAUGAUAUAUUAUCUAGAAGGAAAUAUGAAGAAAUUUAUUGGUUCAUAAUAAAUUGCUUAUUUAUUAUGAUUUAUUAAUGAUUGCAUAAUAAAUCUUUAUUUAUUUAUAAAUACCAUAGAAAUACAAAGAUGUGUGAGAUCUUUGUAUAGAUCUCAUAGAGAUACAAAGACCGUAAAGAUACAACGAAGUAUUUACAAAUAAAAGUUUGUUAAAAUGCACAGUUGUACAAUGACAGCAAUAGAUUUAUAAAAUAUACUUAUAUCAAGUGAAAUUAUUAUGGGUUUAAUUAAUGGUAAUUUUUAUAAGUAAAUGCCAGUUUUAAAUUUCUUUUUACAUAUGUACAUGUAUAAAUACUUUGACAUAAAUGUGUAAAUAUAGUCCAAUCCACAUUCAAUGGGAAUUUUUUGUGCACUCUUAUUUAUUGUUUUAUUUACUUUCCUAGUCAACAUUUCCAAACCCCAUCACCUAUCUCAUCAUCUUAUCCAUGUUUAAAAAUCUAGUAUAAUUUUUCUUUUUUCCAUAUUCUUAUAAUGCAGUUCAGUUCAGUUCAGUCUCUCAGUCCUGUCAGACUCUUUGUGACCCCAUGAAUCACAAUACAUCAGGCCUCCCUGUUCAUCAUCAGCUCGCAGAGUGCACUCAAACCCAUGUCCCUCGAGUCUGUGAUACCAUCCAACCAUCUCAUCCUCUGUCGUCGUCUUCUCCUCCUGCCCUCAAUCAUUCCCAGCAUCAGGGUCUUUUCAAAUGAAUCAGCUCUUUGCAUCAUGCGGCCAAAUACUGGAGUUUCAGCUUCAGCAUCAGUCCCUCCAAAGAAAUCCCAGGGCUGAUCUCCUUCAGAAUGGACUGGUUGGAUCUCCUUGCAGUCCAAGGGACGCUCAAGAGUCUUCUCCAACACCACAGUUCAAAAGCAUCAAUUCUUCACCACUCAGCUUUCUUUACAGCCCAACUCUCACAUCCAUACAUGACCACCGGAAAACCAUAGCCUUGACUAGAUGGAUCUUUGUUGAUAAAGUAAAGUCUCUGCUUUUUAAUAUACUAUCUAGGUUGGUCAUAACUUUUCUUCCAAGGAGUAAGCAUCUUUUAAUUUCAUGGCUGCAGUCACCAUCUGCAGUGAUUUUGGAGCCCCUCAAAAUAAAGUCUGACACUGUUUCCACUGUUUCCCCAUCUGUUUCCCAUGAAGUGAUGGGACCAGAUGCCAUGAUCUUUGUUUUCUGAAUGUUGAGCUUUAAGCCAACUUUUUCACUCUCCUCUUUCACUUUCAUCAAGAGGCUUUUUAGUUGCUCUUCACUUUCUGCCACUUUCUGCAACAUUUAUAAAUAUCAACUAAGAACAAGAAAUUUCAUUCCAAUGAAAGAGAUUCUCAGAUAUGAUAUCUUUGGUCAAAAGUAUAUGUGUUUAUAGUUUUAAUAGGUCUUGCCAGAUUGCAUUCUAAGCUAUGGUGAUAAUUCACAUUUCUACCAGCAAUGUACUCCCUGCUUUUCAACUUUUUGGCACUGUUAAUGAUGUUCAUUUUUACUCUAACAUACAUUUCCUUGUUUAUAUAUUUGAGCAUAUUUCCCCUUACUGGCCAUUUGUAUUCGUUUUUCUGAGAAAUUCCCAUUUACUUUUUUUUAACAUUGAGAUAUAGUAAAAUUCACAAAUCUUAUGUGUACUGCUGGAUGAAAUUUUAGAUAGGCAUAUACCUUCCAGAUCAAGAUGCAAAAUAUUAACAUCUGAAAAGGAUUCCAUGUACCCUUUUGCCAACAAUACAAACUGCUCCCUCACUCCAUCCCUAGAUCAUUCCUCUGAUACCUGUCACCUCAGAUUAAUUUUCAUUGUUCUUGAACUUCAUGUAAAUAGUUUUGUAGGGCAAACUCAUUAUUUUCUACUUUUUACUCAGUGUUACAAUUAUGAAUUAGAUUAUAUUGUAGGGAGUGGAAAUAAUUCCAUCUUUUCCUUGCUUUCAUAUAUGGGUGUUCUACAAUUUAUUUAAAAAUUCGGAUCUUUUCACCUUGAGGCUAUUGUGAAUAAAGCUGUUAAAAGAUACAUUGUUUUAUGUGUCUUUUGGUAGAUAUACACAAUCAAUUCCCCUGGGUAUAUACUAUGAUGAGAACUACUGGGCCAUGAGGUAUACAGGUUUAGCUGCUGCAAAAUAGUUUUCCAUAUAGGUUGUUGUAUUAAUUUAUAUUUUCACAAAGAAAACAUGUAAGUUCUACUUGGCUCAUUUUCUAGUCCAUAUGUGGUACUAAUCGACAGUCUUUUUAAUUUGGCCAUUCGGGUGUAUGUGAAACUGGAUCUCAUUUCGUUUUAGUUUGCAUUUCCUUGGGAAGUAAUGAUGUUGAGCUUUAUUUCGUGCCCUUGUUGUCUUUCUGAAGUCAGUUUUACAAAGUGCCUAUUUAAAGCCUUUGUCCAUUUUGUAAACAGAAUAUCUGUCUUUUAAUUAAUGAUUACAAUACUCUUUGUGUAUUCUGGGUCCUUGCCAUUUUGGAUAUAUGUAUUAUGAAUAUCUUCUCCCAGUGUGUGGCUUCCUUUUCACUCUUUCAAUGAUAUAUUUUGAAAAACAGAAGUCUUUGAUUUUAAUGAAGUUCAAUUUAUCAAUUUACCAAUCUUUUAUUAUAUAGUACAUGGUUUUUUUGUAGCGUAUUUAAUAAAACCACAAUAGCUCAGUUGGGAAAGAAUCCGCCUGCAAUGCAGGAGACCUCGGUUCAAUUCCUCGGUUAGGAAGAUUUGCUAGAGAAGGGAUAGGCUACCCACCCCAGUAUUCUUGGGCUUCCCUAGUGGCUCAGCUGGUAAAGAAGCUGCCUGCAAUGUAGGAGACCUGGGUUCAAUCCUUGGCUUGGGAAGAUCCCCUAGAGAAGGGAAAGACUACCCCCUCUAGUAUUCUGGCCUGGAGCAUUCCAUGGAUUGUAUAGUCCAUGGGGUCACAAAGAGUCAGAUACAACUGAAUGACAUUCACUUUCCUUCUGCAAGCUUUUUAUUUUGUCAUUUAUAUUGAGAGCUUUGAUCUACCUUGAACAGAAUUUUUUUGUAAGGGAUCAAAGUUUAUUUUUUCUAUGUACAUAUCUAAUUGUUCCAUGAUCAUUUAUGGAAAAGACCAUCCUUUUCCUCUUGAAAUAGCAAGAGGAAAUAACAGAUAUCCUUGUAGCAAAUCAGGUGACUGUAUGGGGAUAGAACUUUUCUGCAGUCUGUAUGUUUUACAACUGGACAACUUUCUAUCCUUUGGUAAAUAUCACACUCUUGGUAUCUUUUUAGUAAGUCUUGAUAUCUAGUAGUGCAUAGAUUCUUAAAUUUUGUUUUAUUCCUUAAAAAUUGCCUGUCUGGGGAAAAUGGACUUUUUUUAAAAAAUUCCCUGGUAGCUCAGCUGGUAAAUAAUCUGCAUGCAGUACAGGAAACACUGGUUUGAUUCCUGGUCCAGGAAGAUCCCCUGGAGAAGGAAUAGGCUACCCACUCCAGUAUUCGUGGGCUUCCCUGGUAGCUCAGAUGGUAAAGAAUCCUCCUGCAAUGCAGGAGACUUGGGUUUGAUACCUGGUUUGGGAAGAUCCCCUGGAGGAUGGCAAUCCACUGUAGUAUUUUUGCCUGAAGAAUCCCCAUGGACAGAGGAGCCUGGCCAGCUACAGUCCAUGGGGUCACAAAGGGUCUGACAUGACUGAGCGACUAAGCACAGCACAGCAUAGUUGAUUUACAGUACUGUAUUACUUUGAGGUGCACAGCAAAGUGAUUUAAUCUUUUUAUAGAUUUAACUGCAUAUAAACAUUAUUAUAAAACAAUGGCUAUAUUUUCCUGUGAUAUGCGAUGGAUCCUUGUUGCUUAUCUAUUUUAUACAUAGUCAUUAGUAUUCCAUACCCUAUAUACCUAUCUUACCCCUCCCAACUUCCCUCUCUCUAUGGAUAAUCACUAGUUUAUUCACUGUAUCUGUGAAUCUCUUGCUGUUAUACAUUUGUUUCUUUUAUUUCUUAAGUUCCAGAUAUGUGAUAACAGAGUAUUUAUCUUUGUCUAUUUCACAAAGUAUAAUAUUCUCUAGGCUCAUUAGUGCAAAUGGCAGAAUUUUAUUUAAUUUUUAUGGCUAGAUAAAACUAAGAUCAUGACAUCCGGUCCCAUCACUUCAUGGCAAAUGGAUAGGGAAACAAUGGAAACAGUGGCAGACUUUAUCUAUUUGGGCUCCAAAAUCACUGCAGAUAGUGACUGCAGCCAUGAAAUUAAAAAAUGUUUGCUCCUUGGAAGAAAAGUUAUGACCAACCUAGACAGCAUAUUAAAAAGCAGAGACAUUAUUUUACCAACAAAGGUCCAUCUAAUCAAAGCUAUGAUUUUUCCAGUAGUCAUGUAUGGAUGUGAGAGUUGGACUAUAAAGAAAGCUGAGCAUCGAAGAAUUAAUGCUUUUGAACUGUGGUGUUGGAGAAGACUCUUGAGAGUCCCUUGGACUGCAAGGAGAUCCAACCAGUCCAUCCCAAAGAAAAUCAGUCCUGAAUAUCCAUUGGAAGGACUGAUGCUGAAGCUGAAGCUCCAAUACUUUGGCCACCUGAUGCGAAGAACUGAUUCAUUGGAAAAGACCCUGAUGCUGGGAAAGAUUGAAGGCAGGAGGAGAAGGGUAUGACAGAGGAUGAGAUGGUUGGAUGGCAUCACAAACUUGAUAGACAUGAUUUUGAGUAAGCUCUGGGAGUUGGUGAUUGACAGGGAAGCCUGGUGUGCCACAGUACAUGGGGUCGCAAAGAGUCAGACAUGACUGAGCAACUGAACUGAUGGCUAAAUAAUAUUGCAUUAUAAAUAGCAGAUUUCACAUCUUCUGUAUCCAUUCAUCUUUUGAUAGACACUUAAGUGUUUGUUUGUUUGUUUGUUUUACCUUGGCUAUUGUAAAUAAUGCUACUGUGAAGAUCAGGGUGCAUGUAUCUUUUUCAAAUUAGAGUUUUCGUUUUCAUCAGAAGAAUACCCAGGAGUGGAAUUGUUAGAAAAUAUGAUUUUUUUUGGAAACUAAAAAUAGAAAUACCAUACUCUUUUCCAUACUGUUUUCCACAGUGUCUGCACUAACCUAUAUCUGCACCAACAGUGUACAAGGGUUCCCUUUUCUCCACACCCUGGUCAACAAUUGUUAUUUGAAGAAUUUUAUGAUAGCCAUUCUGACAAAUGGGAGGUGGUGUUUCAUUUGGUUUUGAUUUGCGUUUUUCUGAUGACUAGUGAUGUUAACAUCUUUUAGUUUGCCUGUUAGCCAUCUGUAUGUCUUCUUUGGAAAAGUUCCUAUUAUGAUCUUAUGUCCAAUUUUUGAUCAGGUUAUUUCUUUUUUUAUAAUGAGUUGUAUGUUCUGUUUAUAUGUUUUUGGAUAUGAACCCUUUUUUGUCCAUACUGUUUGAAAAUAUUUUUUCUCAUUUGGUAGGUUGUCUUUUUAUUUUGUUGAUUGUGUUCUUUGUUGUGCAAAAUCUUCUAAGUUUAAUUAGGUCCCAUUUUUUUUUUUUUUGCUUGAUUUCUUUUGCCUCCGAAGACAGAUCAAAAAGUAUAUUGUAUACUUUGAUAAAAGUAUAUUUAUCAAUCUUCUACCUAUAUUUUCAUCUAGCAGUUUUAUGGUUUCAGUUUUUAAAUUUAGGCCUUUAACCUAUUUUACAUUUAUUUUGCAUAUGGUGUGAGGAGAUGUUGUAAUCUCACUGUGUUAUAGGUAACUGUAAAGUUUUCCCAGCACCAACUUUUGAAGAAAGUGUCUUAUUUCCAUCAUAUAUACUUGCCUUGCUUGUCAGAGAUUAGUUGACCAUAGCUGUGUGGACUUAUUUCUGGGCUCCCAAUCUUGUUCCUAUGAUCUGUGUCUCCUUUUUUUGCCAGCACCAUACUGUUUUGAUAACCAUAGCUUUGUAGUACGUAUAUUCUGAAAUCAGGAAAUGUAAUACCUCCAUCGCUGUCCUUUUUCCUCAAGAUUGCUUUGGCAAUUUGGGGUAUAUUAUAAUUCCAUACAAAUUUUAGGAUACUUUGUUCAAGUUCUAAAACAAAAAGGUCAUGGAUAUUUUGAUUAGGUUUGGAUUAAAUUUACAGAUUGCUUUUGGUAGUAUGGAUUUUUUAAUCAUAUUAAUUCUUCCAGUCAGAUAACAUGAAAUAUCUUUCUUUUUAUUUAUAUCACUUGCAAAUUCCAUCAUCAUUGUUUCAUAGUUUUUAGAGGAUAUAUUGUUCACUUCCUUGGUUAAGUUUACUUCCAGAUAUUUUGCUAUUUUUGAAACAAUUUUAACUGCACUGUUUUCUGGCUUGCUCUUACUGAGAGUUCAUUAUUAUUGUACAGAAAAGCAACAUAUUUAUGUAUAUGAAUCUUUUAUCCUACUACUUUGCUGAAUUCAUUUAUUCUAACAGGUUUUUUGGUGGUGAUUUUACAGUUUCCUAUAGUAUUGUGUGAUCUGCAAUUAGUGACCAUUUUACUUCUUCUCCUCCAAUUUUGAUGUGUAUUUCUUUUUCUAGCUAGAUUGCUAAGCCUGGGACUUCUGAUAGACGUUAAACACUUAGUAUUUAACGUAGUAUUAUACUUUGUUAAAUGAAAGUGUUGAGAGUGGGUAUCGUUGUAUUAUUCCUGAUUGUAGAGGAAAGGCUUUCAGUUUGUCGCCAUUAAGCAUGAUGGUAGUUGUGAGUUUAUCAUAAAUGGCCCUUAUUAUGUUGAGAUAUAUUCCCUUUAUGCCUACUUUGAUCAGAGUUUUUUAUCGUGAAUGGAUGUUGGAUUUUAUUAAUUGCUUUUUCUGCAUUUAUUGAGAUGAUCAUGUGAUUUUGAUCCUUCUUUUUGCUGGUGUGGUAUAUCAUGUUGAUUGAUUUGUGAAUGUUAAACAAUCAUUGCAUACUUGGAAUAAAUUCCAGUUGAUCAUGGUGUAUGAUCAUUUUUAUAUACUGCUGAAUUUGGUAAAAUUUUUGAGGGUUUUUGCAUCUAUGUUCGUCAGAGAUACUGGCCUGUAAUAUUCAUUUUUUGUAACAUUUUUGUCUGAUUCUGGUAUCAGGGUAAUUAUGGCCUCAUAGAUUACAUUUAAGGUUUCCAACUUCUUAAACUUCUUGGAAUAGUUUGAGGAUAGGUGUUAACUCUCCUUUAUAUGUUUGAUAGAAUUGCCCUGUAAAGCCAUACAGUACUAGAGUUUUGUCUGCUGAGAGUAUUUUUUUUAAUUACAUUUUUAAUUACAAAUUCAAUUUCACUACUGGUGAACAGUCUGUUCAGAUUAUCUAUUUAUUCCUGAUUCAGCCUUGGAAGUUUCUGUGUUUCUAGAAAUUUGUCUAUUUAAUCUAGGUUGUACAAUUUGUUGCCAUGUAAUUGUAAUAUUCUUUUAUGAGUUUUCAUAUUUCUGUGAUAUUGGUUGAUAUUUCUCUUUUUCCAUUUCUUAUUUUAUUUAUUUUUGUCAUGUCUCUUUUCAUCUUUAUUAGCCUAGCUAAAGGUUUAUUAAUUUUAUCUUUAAAAAUAUCUUUAUCUACUCUUGGUUUUAUUGAUCUUUUCCAUUUUUAUGGCCUCUAUUUUAUUUAUUUUCUCUCGGAUCUUUAUUAUUUCCUUCCUUCUGCUAAAUUUGGGCUUUGUUUGUUCUUUUUCUAAUUCCUAUAGAUUGUGUAUUUGAGAUUGUUCUUGUUUCUUUAGGUCAGCCUAAAUUGCUGUAAGUUUCCCUCUUAUAAUUGCUUUUGUUGCAUACCAUAAAUUUUAGAAAAUUGUCUUUCCAUUUUCAUUUGUCUCAAGGUAUUUUCUCAUAUCCCCUUUGUUUUCAUUGUUCAUCUAUUGAGGUUUUUUUAGUAGCAUGUUAUUUAUCUCCAUGUGUUUAUGCUUUUCCCAUUUUUCUUUAACCAAUUUCUUGUUUCAGAGUGUUGUGUUUGGAAAAAAUUGGUAUAAUUUAUAUCCUGUUAAACUUAUCAAGACUUGCUUUUUCAGCUUAGAACCUGAUUUAUCCUAGAGUUGCAUGCACACUUUAAAAGAAGGUAUUCUGCUGUUUUAGAGUGGAAUGUCCUGUAGAUAAAUCUAUUAAGUCCAAGUGGCCUUUUGCAUCAUUUGCUGCUGCUGCUAAGUCGCUUCAGUCAUGUCUGACUCUGUGCGACCCCAUAGACAGAAGCCCACCAGGCUCCCCCAUCCCUGGGAUUCUCCAGGCAAGAACACUGGAGCGGGUUGCCAUUUCCUUCUCCAAUGCAUGAAAGUGAAAAGUGAAAAGUGAGAGUGAAGUUGCUCAGUCGUGUCCGACUCUUAGCGACCCCAUGGACUGCAGCCUACAGAGCUCCUCCAUCCAUGGGAUUUUCCAUCAUUUAGGACCAUUCAUAGUGAAUUUCUCUCUGGAUGAUUUGUCCAUUGAUAUAAGUGGGGUGUUAAUUUCCCCUACUAGUUGAAAUGUUAUCAAUUCUCUUUAUCUCUGUUAAUUUUGAUUUAUGAAUUUAGGUGUUCCUAAAUUCAAUUUAGGUAUUGAAUGUAUAUAUGUUAAUAAGUAUAAUAUCCUCUUCUGGUAUUGAUUCUUUUAUCAUUAUAUAAUGACAUUCUCUGUCUUUUGUUAUUGUUUUACUUAAAGUCUAUUUUGUCUGAUAUUAGUAUUGCUACCCUUGCUUUAUUGUUGCUUCUGUUUGCAUGAAAUACUUUGUCCAUCCCCUCACUUUCUGUCUGUGUGUGUCCUAGCUCUGAAAAAAAUCAGCUGAUAACUUUAUGCAGGUUCCUUUGUCAACUGACCCUGUUUUUCUCUUGCUGCCUUUAGAAUUUCUUCCUAAUAUUUAACUGUAGUCAUUUUAAUUACGAUAUGUCUUGGUGUGGGACUGUUUCUGUCCCCGUUGUUUGAGACCCUCUGUACUUUCUGCACCUGGGCUUCUGUAUCCUUCAGCUUUGGGAGAAUUUCAGCCAUAAUCUCUUCAAAUAGAUUUUUGACCGUUUCUCUCUUUUCUCCUUCUGAGACAGUUAUAAAGUAAAUGUUGGUACAUUUAAUGUUUUCCCACAGACCUCUUAAAAUGUUUUAAUUUUUUUAAUUUGUUUUUUCUAUAGUUUUGAUUGCCUUGGAAACAAACCAAGAUCAUUCUGUCAUUUUGAGGUUGCACCCAAGUACUGCAUUUCAGACUCUAUAGAUCUAGUGGAGACCUAGUAGAAGCAAAAGAGAUAAAAAAGAGAUGGAAAUAACACAUGAAAGAACUGUACAAAAUAGUUCUUAAUGACCUGGAUAACCAUGAUGGUGUGGUCAGUCACCCACAGCCAGACAUUCUGGAGUGUGAAGUCAAGUGGGCCUUAGGAAACACAGCUGUCAAUAAAGUUAGUGGAUGUGAUGAGAAUUCCAUCAGUAGAGCUAUUAAAAAUUCUGAAAGAUUUUAUCAAAGUGCUGCACUCAAUAUGUCAGCACAUCUGGAAAACCCAGCAAUGGCCACAAGACUGAAAAAGGUCAAUCUUCAUCUUAAUUCCCAAGAAGGGCAGUGUUAAAGAAUGUUCCAACCACCCGACAGUCGCACUUAUCUCCCUUGCUAGUAAGGUUAUGCUCAAAAUCCUAAAUGCUAGGUUUUAGCAUUAUGUGAACUGAGAACUUCCAGCCAUCCAAGCUGGGUUUAGAAAAGGCACAGAGGAACCAGAGAUCAAAUUUCCAACAUUUGCUGGAUCAUAGAGAAAGCAGGGGAUUCCAGAAAAACAUCCACCUCUGUUUCAUCAACUACACUAAAGCCUUUGACUAUGUGGAACAUAACAAACUGUGGAGAGCUCUUGAAAAGAUGGGAAUACCAGACCUUCUUACCUGUCUCCAGAGAAACCUGCAUGUGAGUCGGGAAGUAACAGUUAGUACCCUAUAUGGAACAACUGACUGGUCCAGGAUUGAGAAACAAGUACAACAAGGCUGUUUGUUGUCACCCUGUUUAUUUAAAUUAUACACUGAGCAAAUCAUGAGAGAUGCCAGGCUGGAUGAGUUACAAGCUGAAAGCUGGAAGGAGAAAGAUCAACAACCUUACAUAGGCAGAUGUUACCAUUCUAAUGGCAGAAAGUGAAGAGGAACUAAAGAGCCGCUUGAUGAGGGUGAAGGAGAGUGAAAAAGCUGGCUUAAGACUAAAUAUUAAAAAAAAAAAAAUAAGAUCAUAGCAUUCAGCCCCAUAACUUCAUGGCAAAUAGAGGGAGAAAAGGUGGAAGCAGUGACAGAUUUCCUCUUCUUAAGCUCUAAAAUUAUACAGAUAGUGUCUGCACAUAAAAUUAGAAAACAAUUGCUUCUUUGUAGGAAAGCUAUGGCAAACCUAGACAGUGUGUUGAAAAGCAAAGACAUCACUUUGCUGACAAAUGUCCAUAUGGUCAAAGCUAUGAUAUUUCCAGUAAUCAUGUAUUGCUGUGAGAGCAGGACUGUAAAGAAGGCAGAGCACCAAAGAAUUGAUGCCUUGGAAGUGUGGUGCUGGAGAGUCCCUCCGACAGCAAGAUCAAACCAGUCAAUCUUAAAGGAAAUCAAACCUGAAUACUCAUUGGAAGGACUGAUGCUGAAGCUCCAAUAUUUUGGUCACCUGAUGUGAAUAGCCAACUCAUUGAAAAAAACCCUGAUGCUGGAAAAGAUUGAGAACAGAAGGAGAAGAGGGCAUCAGAGGAUGAGAUGGCUGGAUAGCAUCACCAAUGCAAUGGACGUGAACUUGGGCAAACUCUGGGAGACUGUGAGGGACAGGGAAGCCUGACUUGCUACAAUCCAUGGGAUUGCAAACAGUCGGACACAACUGGGUGACUAAAAAGCAAUAGUAUAGUUUUGAUUGGGUGAUUUUUGUCAUUCUGUCUUCCAGAUCACUUAUGUAUUCUGCUGAAUCACUUAGUCUGCUCUUGAUUCUUUCUAGUGUGUUUUUCACUUUAGUUAUUGUAUUCUCAAGUUCCAAAAGAGACUAGUUAUUUUUUUUUUUCUGGCCUUGUGAAAAUUCUCGCUGUGUUCAUCUAAUCUUUUCCCUAAUUCAGUUAGCAUUCUUAUAACUAAUUCUUUACCAGAUAAAUUGUUUCUGUUUCAUUGGUUGUUUAUUCAUAGGUGUUCUCUUGUCUCUCAGUUGGGACCAAUUCCUCUGUCUUCUCGUUUUGCUCAACUUUCUCUGUCUGUCUGAAAUUAGAUGAAACAACAGUCUUUUGCAAUCUUGACGUAAUCUCACGUGGGAGCAUGCUAUACCUUUUGCAUGGGCUGAGUGGCUUUAGGGGGAGAGCUGGGUUUUGCAUGAUCCCAAGUCACAUCUUACCUCGGUGUGUGCUGGCAGCUAGUCACUUUGGUAAGAAGUGAGGCUGAAGAAGGGUGAGCUAGGGCGGGAACCAGAUGUUAAGCCGCGUUUCCCCCCAUUCAGUGGCUGUCACCAGGCUCAAGGGGAUGGGUGGGGGUGGUCUCAAGUAGCUAGAGCAGAGCCCGGAGGGUCAGAUGCAUCCUGUGUUUUUUUUCUUCAAGCGUGAGCUCUUCUCAUCCAAGCACCAAGACUCUAACCCCAGAGGGGAGCAGCGUUAGAGCAAAUAGCACCUAGAUGAGCUUUUGGCACGUGACGGCGCGCGGGUUGUGGGAGUUUGGCUGGAGAAAGGCUUUGGGGCUUCUCCAGAUGCACUGCCUGGGCGGGUGCCAGUAAGGGUUGCCCCCACCCUGCCCAGGUGCCAUCUGGGGUCUAAGCCACCUCCAUUUCUCACAGCUGAGCUCUCUUUCCUCAGUCACGGCAGCCCCGGCUCCAGCACAGAGCUGCAAUAUGAAGAAACAGGGACUGGAAUGUUCCCUCAGCUCAGACUGGGACACACACCGGGGCAUUUGUGGAAAGCCAGUCAUCCAUCCUCACAAUUUUAAUGCCCCCAUCUCCACUUUGCCUCAGGAGCGAGCGAGGGUACACACACUCCUCCUGAAUGAAGCCUAGUCCUCCUACUACUUGUUGUUCCUAAAAGUCCUCCUGUUACGCUCACCAGCCUUCCCAUCAGCCAAGGGGCUUGUCUUUCCUAUGCGGGACCCCAGGACUGGGAUGCCC